ACACGUGUGUCAGUGCACUAUCGGCUAUAACAAAAGUUGAUGUUCGUGCAAAUGCCAAACUUGUCGCAGCUGGGUGCAACCCGCGAAGGGGCUAUGCAGCAGGUGCACGCAGCAAUAAGGGAGAAGCGCACAUGAAGCAGUUCAAUAAAAGAGUAAAUGGAGGUUCAGAUAUGGCACCGAGAUAGGUUCAAAAAAAUGGGGGCAACAACAACGUCAGUAACAACGUCGAAGAGCUGGAGAUGAGCAAGUUAGGUACUGCCAAUGACAUCGACAAGUUCAC